rnacentral:rRNA from 1 species
GAGUUUGAUCCUGGCUCAGGACGAACGCUGGCGGUGUGCCUAAAACAUGCAAGUCGAGCGCCCCUUUAGAAGUAGAGAACAUUACGUUAUCUGUUUCUAUGGGGAGCGGCGGACGGCUGAGUAACGCGUGGGAACGUGCCCCAAAGUGAGGGAUAAGCUCAAGAAAUUGAGUCUAAUACCGCAUACGGUCUUCGGAUUAAAGAAUUUAUUCGCUAUGGGAGCGGCCUGCGUACGAUUAGAUAGUUGGUGAGGUAAUGGCUCACCAAGUCGACGAUCGUUAACUGGUCUGAGAGGAUGAUCAGUCAGACUGGAACUGAGACACGGUCCAGACUCCUACGGGAGGCAGCAGUUAGGAAUCUUCCACAAUGGGCGAAAGCCUGAUGGAGCAACACCGCGUGCUGGAUGAAGGCCUUCGGGUCGUAAACAGCUUUUGUAUACGAAGAAUAUGACGGUAAUAUACGAAUAAGGGUCGGCUAACUACGUGCCAGCAGCCGCGGUCAUACGUAGGACCCAAGCGUUAUCCGGAGUGACUGGGCGUAAAGAGUUGCGUAGGCGGUCUUUUAAGCGAGUGGUGAAAUCUGGUGGCUCAACCAUACAGACUAUUACUCGAACUGGGAGACUUGAGAAUGGUAGAGGUAGUUGGAAUUUCUUGUGUAGGAGUGAAAUCCGUAGAUAUAAGAAGGAACACCAAUGGCGUACGCAGACUACUGGACCAUUUCUGACGCUGAGGCACGAAAGCGUGGGGAGCGAACCGGAUUAGAUACCCGGGUAGUCCACGCCGUAAACGAUGGAUGCUAGCUGUGGGGGGUAUCGACCCUCUCCGUAGCGAAGCUAACGCGUUAAGCAUCCCGCCUGUGAG